GCGGAGGGCCGGAUGGCCGCGGGCCUGCAAGGGCACGAGGAAAGUCCGGACUCCACAAGGCAACGGUGCCGGGUAACGCCCGGGCGGAGCAAUCCGACGGAAAGCGCCACAGAGAACAGACCGCCCCCGCAGGCCGGGGGUAAGGGUGAAACGGUGGGGUAAGAGCCCACCGCGCCCCUGGCAACAGGGGCGGCACGGCAAGCCCCACCGGGAGCAAUGCCAAAUAGGAACCGCGCGAGGGCCUCGGCCCUCGGGGAUGCCUUUGUCCCCAGCAGGUUCGGGUUGGCAGCUAGAGGGCCACGGGCGACUGUGGCUUGAGAGGAAUGGUCAUCCAGAGGGGGCAACUCCUUGGACAGAAUCCGGCUUACAGGCCCUCCGCGCGU
rnacentral:RNase_P_RNA from 1 species